rnacentral:lncRNA from 1 species
GCGGCCGCCCUGGUACAAUGAACACGGCACGCAAUCCAAAGAGGCCUUCGCCAUCGGCUUGGGAGGCGGCAGUGCCUCUGGGAAGACCACUGUGGCCAGAAUGAUCAUCGAGGCCCUGGAUGUGCCCUGGGUGGUCUUGCUGUCCAUGGACUCCUUCUACAAGGUGGGCCCCCGCCCAGCUCCCCCGAGGACCCCUUUGUCCUCUCCCUGACCCUGGACCCCCUGCAAAAGUAGGUCCCUGGUCUCAGCCCCAGCGUGGCUGCUCCUGGGAGGCCUAGAGCCCCUGUCCGCUGGCAUUGGGUGAGGGCCCUACUGUGCCCACAGCUGCUCCACAGCCUCCCCCACCAGGUGCUGACUGAGCAGCAGCAGGAACAGGCCGCACACAACAACUUCAACUUCGACCACCCAGAUGCCUUUGACUUCGACCUCAUCAUUUCCACCCUCAAGAAGCUGAAGCAGGGGAAGAGUGUCAAGGUGCCCAUUUAUGACUUCACCACGCACAGCCGGAAGAAGGACUGGAAAACACUGUAUGGUGCAAACGUCAU